UGCCCACAGGCUAAACCGAAACGCUGUUAACUGACAAGCAUUUCAGCCUUUGACAGUUUGGAACAAAAUGUUAGCAUCUGAAUAACGCUUGUUAUGUAUCCUGUCUUUUUAGUUACGCACCUUCAAGGUUCUUUGACUGACUUCAAAUAUAAAUUUUGACAGAAGUUUUCCGAAAGAUUUUAGCUCCAUGUGACAAUUUGGCCCCUCAAGUUGACUGGCAUCAUCAAUCACACUGACAAGGGCAAUUUGAGACAUGCCACACGUUUACGGCUGUAAGGCACUAAACGUAGUUUAAGUGUGUGAGGUAAACACUCUGUACAGAGCUGUGCAGAAAGCAGCUCAGAGCUUUGGGUGUGGCAAGAGGGAGCUAUGAAGGAAGGCAAAUGCCAACAGUGAAAUUUCAACCGAGGUUCUACAAAGGAUUAGGUCUCAUCUUAUAAUCCUCUUUUGCAACUUAAAUUCAUACUUUAAAUCAAGCACCGGAAGAUCUUUUUUGUCAUGAUACGUAACAAAGACGCCCCUCAGAUAUCAUAUAGUUCAGAAAGGUGCUCAGCUUUUCAGUGUCUAAGACUUUAUUCCUGUUUCCCCAAAAGUGCUAAAGCUUUGCUCCCCUCUCUUUGCCUCAAACCUGGUUUCAAUUAGCUUGUCUUUCCAAACCACUACAUUCCAUAACUCCCCUCCUCACCCCAGUCCCGCCCAUCCCCCCUCACACACUAACACGCUCUCUGACUCUCUUCCCCCUCUUCCUCCCAUCCUUUCCCCCGCACACCCUGGCAUGGAGCCCAGGUUAAGAAACUCAAGAUCGUAUACCAAAACGUUGCACAACUUCCUGGCCAGUCAGAGAAAAGGGUGUGCCUCUCUGAGGAGACAGCAAAGCAAGAAGGGAGGGAAGAAAAAAAAGGAGUUGGAGAAGGGAGGUUCAAGAGAGGGAUCCACACCCAUGCUGCUGCAAGGAAGUACCUUUACUUUUUAAAAGUCCAGAACUUAAAAACACAAUGGUGGACUGAUAAGAAAAAGCACACCAACCUCUACAACAUAACACAACCAGCCUGGAC